rnacentral:rRNA from 1 species
CCCUUAGAUGUCCUGGGCCGCACGCGCGCUACACUGAGUGUCUGAGAUACGAGUCUGCCUGGUCCGGCAAGGUCUAGGUAAUCGCUAAAAGACACAUCAUGCUUGGGAUAGAUUAUUGCAAAUAUUAAUCUUGAACGAGGAAUUCCUAGUAAGCGCAAGUCAACAGCUUGCGUUGAUUACGUCCCUGCCCUUUGUACACACCGCCCGUCGCUACUACUGCUUGGAUGUUUAAGCGAGGUUCUCGAACUGCUAGCGACUUAGCUUCGGUGAGGUCGCAGUGUGGGAAGUGAACCUAGCUUUGGUGUCUAGAGGAAGUAAAAGUCGUAACA